UACGAAGGGGGCUAGCGUUGUUCGGAUUUACUGGGCGUAAAGGGCGCGUAGGCGGAUUUAUAAGUCAGGAGUGAAAUCCCUGGGCUCAACCCAGGAAUUGCUCUUGAAACUAUAAGUCUUGAGUAUAGGAGAGGUGAGUGGAAUUCCCAGUGUAGUGGUGAAAUACGUAGAGAUUGGGAAGAACACCAGUGGCGAAGGCGGCUAUCUGGACGGUUUCUGACACUAAGACUCGAAAGCGUGGGGAGCAAACAGG
rnacentral:rRNA from 1 species